CAGGAAAUUCACGCUAAUGGGAACUGACAGGUCCUCAUUCUUUAAGGGUGGGGAAAGAAACCUAAAGCCUGGCCGUCUCCAGAUCCACAAAAAAGAUAGGAAACAAUUCGCCGCGCGUCCUAGACGUGCGCCCCGCGCAAAAAAAAAAGGGGGGGAACAGCCCGAAAUAAACGAGCCAAGCGCACCGGGCUCAUCCUUCCCGCUCCCAAACCUACGGUACUGAAUUAGGGGUCCCCGAUCACAGAAACAGAGAGAAAUAAUGAAAACAAAAAAAUCCUUUUUUUUUUUUUAGUUAAAUAACCAGAGAGGAGGUAUUUUGCCAACGGAAAUGCACGCAAGCAUGGGAUGGAGGGAGCGGGAGCCCUCUACGCCCCGCUAGGGGGACACGCGCCCCCAGGGAAUUCUUUGGCGAUGCCCCAAAGGAUACUCUGCAGGGCGGUGGAAAACCAAAUCUUCAAUUCAAUUCUGAAGUGCGGCUCCCUUGGUUUUCAUCCCGAGCUCGAUAUGAAGUUUAGCGCUGCAAUGUAUCACUUUGUUCCUUGCUUGUAUUGGGGGAGACACGUUUAAUAUUCAGAAGAAGAAUGAAGCCAAUUGCAAGUAGCUUCUGGAAAUGGAGGAAUGGCAGAAAUCAGGACUACUCCCUUCCCAAGCCCAGCCUCUGGAACACAAGCCACCUGGCACUGGUCCUUCUGGAUGGGAUCCAGGGAGCUCUGUUCUUCCGUUCAACAAAUAUAAAUGCCAACGACAUUCAGGACAGUUUGCUGAAUUCCAAAAUCUACAGUCAGGGUUCCUAUGCUCAAGAUACCUAACAUUCACCUUGGUGUUUGAAGAUUCCCCAAGAUGUGGGUUUGGGAAAUAGACGAAAGAAGAGGCGCACGAUCCCUGCGAUGGACCCAAACCAAAACCAAAUUAAUGAAACUUGAUCUGUAGAUGUGGGAUCUUUGUCUUUUAAUAUGUGAGCCUGUCCGAACACGUGUAAAUGAGGAUUAACAUGGAAUCAGAAGAAAACUUGGGAGUUCUCUAAUCGCCUAGUGGGUAAAGGCUCCUGCCUUUUCACUGCUGUGGCUCUGAUUGCUCCUGUGGCACAGGUUUGAGCCCUGGCCCAGAAACCUCCACAUACUGUGGGUUCAGCAGAAGAGAAAAAUAAAUAAGAGCAAACCUGAACUUUGCA
rnacentral:lncRNA from 1 species